rnacentral:lncRNA from 1 species
UAUUACCGCUCUGGUGCGGUACUUCGGAAGUACCGCACCAUGCGGUACUACCGUGUCUGGGCACAGUACUACGCACCAUCAAGUGUGCGUGGGGGUUAUGACUCGGGCAGGGGAGUUCCAACUCCCCAUACCCAUUCAUUGUCUCUCUCUCCACGUCUCUCCCUCUCAAGGAUGGCGCCGGAGGCCCUCGCCGGAUCUCCGUCUCUGGCCACUCUCCUCGGAUUCCGACCGGUGGGAUCGUUCCCCACCACUUCCUCUUGCCAUGGACCAAGGUUUUUCCCCAAAUCCCUCUUUUUCUUGGAUAUUCUCUUGCUUCUAGGCUUUUGGGGAGAAACUUGUCGUUCUUGAGAUUUUAGGCCAAAUCUAUGCAAGAGUAGGAUGUAGGAGAGUCGUGAUGCGUAGGAAACAUACUUGAUAUGCUGUCUUGUGGUAGCUUUGUCCAACCGUAGUACCGCCGUGGUUUCGCGGGCUUUCUCAGAUUUGAACCAGUUCAGAUCUGACGCGGUGUGGUACUACCAUGCCCGAUGUGCGGUACUACCGCUCUUGCGGUACUACCGCCCGUCAGGUGCGGUACUACCAUACCGUGCGGUACUACCGCUCCGCAGACACGGUACUACCACGCCGGCCGCGGCGCUAAGGUCGUACUACCGCUCCUACACCCGGCACUACCAUGAUCUUGCACGGUACUACCGCGUCUAAGAGUCGUACUACUCUCUUAGCUCCGCAGCUCUUGGCAGUACUACCGUAGGGAUCAAAUCUCUCUCUAGGCAUUUAUCAUGUGUGCUUUCUACUUGUUUCACUUGCUUUGUUGUGGUCUUUGCAUUAAUCUCUCUUGGAUGUUGUGGGUGUUUUUGGGUUCUGUGUCUCAGGUGGUGGCUCUCGCCGUUCCAAUCCCAGUCGUGACACUGGCUCCAAGCGUCUACGCAACCCCCAAGAUGAAGCCCUAGAGGGCUCCAAUGCCCCCAAGCGCAAUGUCAAGACCACUGCCAGCAAGCAAAAGGAACCGACUAAGGGCAUGGACGAGAUUUCAACCACUGAGUAUGUCGAGCGCCGGAAGAUCAAUCCCUAUGUGAAUCCUCGGGCUAUCCUCAGAGGCACCGAGUUGUUCUGGACCAAGCAACAGGCUCUCAUCUAUCUGGAUGUGAUCAAGAACAAGCAGAAUACCUUCGUGGAUGUCAAGUGGAUAGACAUGCAUCACCUGCGGAAAGACAAGUUUCGUGACUAUUUUGGAGAGGCUCUGGACUUGGUGGAGUAGUUUGCUAUUGAGCCGGUGAUCUCCUUUCACCUUGACUAUGACCCUAAGCUUAUCUGUCAGUUCUUUGCCUCACUGUACUUUCAUCCUGAGGAGGAGCGGAGGAUGACCUGGAUGACCAAUGGCCGUCAGCUGUCUACUACAUGGAAAGAGUUCAUGGAUCUGCUGCACAUUCCUGAUGAUGGGCUUCACACCCCCGUUGGCGUUCGCCCCCAUGCCAACUCUGAGUCUGCCAACAAGAACCAGCUUCAGCCCUUCCUUGUUGAGAAGGUACUCCCCAAUGAGAAGUCAUCUUGGGUGUUGAACUCCUUUCUGAAUAACAUGCAUCGCAUCUUCCGCAACACUCUGUUCCCACGCAUUGGCGACAAGGACAAGGUUCAUGCAUAUCUAGUGGACAUGUUGCUCUUGUGUGCAGAGGCACGUACUUCUCAGACUCAGCCACUUGAUGUCUCUCACAUCAUGUGGUGUGAGCUUCGGUUUGCGGUGUUCACUCGCAAGGUACCUAUCUAUGGACCGUACCUGUUUCUGCUGCUCUCCACCACUUGGGAGAAGACGUAUCCAGGUGAUGAGUUCCUUGCUCCAGACUGGAUUCGCCAUGAGUCCAUCAGCCUCCGCGUCAAGCCCAACUGGGCCAACACCACUACUCGUGCCGAGGCAUCUUCUGCUAGGAGGGCUGCUGGUGAGGGGGAGGCUGCUGCUGCUGAGACUGCUGCUGAGGACCGUGCUGCUAGGUCCACCACUUCUUCCUCUGAGCCGUCAUGGGCCAAGAAGCUGAAGGACAAGAUGAAGACUCUCUUCUGCAUGCAGGCGAAGGGACAGUACAGGGCUCACGUGACUGACAAGGAGAGUCGCCGCCGUGACAAGAAGGUGAUGAGGCUCUUUGGAGAGGAUGUGUCUGGCGGGUCUAAGGACGUCAUCACACCUGAGGCUGCCUGGAUGUCAAAGCAGGGCUACAAGUGGAACAGUUCAUAGGAUGACAUCGAGGAGACUAUCCCCGCCGCUGAGUCUGACAAGGAGCACGAGGAGCAGUGGGACGACUUCUCUGCCUGAGCCACCCCGUGUGUGUAGGUGUCCUCUCUGCCUUUUUGGCGUCUCGAUGCCAAAGGGGGAGAGAGUGUAGGGAUUUGCGUUGUGUCGUGCUUGGUGUGUUUGUUUGCUUUGUCGUUUGGACCUCGUUUGCCUCGUUUGCUUUUGUUCGGUUUGUGCAUUCGAGACCUAUCCUCCAUAUGGUGUAAGACAUAUGCACUCUAUCUAUCUUAGUUAUCUUAUGUUUGUACUAUCUUGUCUAGUGAUAAUUUUGCCUUGUCUCUAUAAUAUAGGGGGAGCUCUGUUCCUAGUAUUCGUGCUCAUCUAGGUGGCACACAUUUAGGGGGAGCCCGUCUAUAUUAUAGAGAGGAGGGGUUUGCUUUUACUUAAUAGUAUUUUUCCUUGUGCAAAUCCUGUUUUGUCAUCAAUCCACCAAAAAGGGGGAGAUUGUAAGGACAUAUUUAUCACUAAGUGUUUUGGUGAUUGAUGACAAUGCAUUUGCGGACUAAUCGUGUGUCAUGAGUUUUCCAGACACUUCUUUGCUAGGCACAAGACGAUUGGGUGCCCCUCGAAGACUGACGAAGACGGCGUCUUUUCUACGUUUCUUUUUGGUGGAUUUGAGUCGUAGGAAAGCCGUACUAUUAAGAGGGGGUCCACGUUGGAAAGGUUUGGGUGGAAUUAUCACGUACACGUCUCCUUUUAUCCCCUCCUUCUUCCUUGGAGCUUCCUCCAUUUUUCCUGCCUCCUUUGACUGGCUGCUGUUGUGGUUGCGGUAGUACUGCUCCUGGAUCAACGGUAGUACCGUAGGCAUCCACGGUAGUACCGCGCGGUGGCGCGGUAGUACCGCUGGUGCUCACGGUAGUACCGCUCCCCUGGAGCCGCACUACCGCUGCCCACCAGGCUAGUGCCGCCCCCUUGCGAUAGUAGGAGCGGAUGUAAUUUUUUACAUCCGCACCUGCCGCGGUAGUACCGCUUUUGCCGUGCGGUAGUACCGCGCUAUGCGGUCAGGCAGUAGUACUGCCCCUCGGCAGUACUACUGUGUCGGGUUUUUGCUACUUCCGUUUAUUUGCGGAAGUAGGCACGGAAGUUCCCCUUCCCCCUGGCUGGGACUUUUGCCUUGCGGUAGUACCGCAUGGGGGGCUCGGUAGUACCGCGCGUGCGGAAGUACCGCCCCCAGCUUGCGUCUGUUUCUGUGCUGGGGUCGUGGCAGUACCGUGGGACGGUACGGUAGUACCACACUACCGCGCGGUAGUACCGCUUGGUUGCAAGCAGUAGUACCGCGCGGCCUUGCGGUAGUACCGCUGGCCAGGCGCGGUAGUACCGCUGGCCGCGGGCUGGUUGGUGGGUAACGGUUGGAUCUUUUCCACACACUAUAUAAAGGGUCUCCUUCUUCCCCGUUGACUCACCUCUUCCACCAUUAAAGCUCCAUUAUUGCUUCAAGCUCCAUUUUCGCCCGAUGUCACUCCCUAGCCAACCAAACUUGUUGAUUUGCUCGGGAGGUUGAGAAGGCCCCGAUCUACACUUCCACCAAGAGAUAUUUGAUUCCCCCUACUAAUCCCUUGCAGAUCUUGUUACUCUUGGGUGUUUGAGCAUCCUAGACGGUUGAGGUCACCGCGAAGCCAUAGUCCAUUGUGGUGAAGCUUCGUGGUGUCGUUGGGAGCCUCCAAUUGAGUUGUGGAGAUUGCCCCAACCUCGUUUGUAAAGGUUCGGUCGCCGUUUCCAAGGGUACCAAUAGUGGAAUCACGACAUCUCACAUUGUGUGAGGGCGUGAGGAGAUUACGGUGGCCCUAGUGGCUUCUUGGGGAGCAUUGUGCCUCCACACCGCUCCAAUGGAGACGUACUUCCUCUCAAAGGGAAGGAACUUCGGCAACAUAUCCUCGUCUCCAUCGUCUCCACUCUUGGUUAUCUCGUGCCUUUACUUGUGUAGCUUAUUUGUUUCAUAUAUCUUGCUUGCUUGUGUUCCUAUUCGUGUUGCAUCAUAUAGGUUGCUCAUCUAGUUGCAUAUAUAGACAACCUACUUUGAUGCAAAGUUUAAAUUGCUAAAGAAAAGCUAAAAAUUGUUAGUUGCCUAUUCACCCCCCUCUAGUCAACCAUAUCGAUCCUUUCACCGUACCUUCGGUGCUAGGAUCGGUCGGAUCGUGAAGACGUAUGACUACAUCAACCACGUUGUCAUAACGCUUCCGCUUAUGGUCUACGACGGUAUGUAGACAACACUCUCCCCUCUCGUUGCUAUGCAUCACCUAGAUGGAUCUUGCGUGUGCAUAGGAUUUUUUUUUUGAAAUUACUGCGUUCCCCAACACACAUGUAUGGAAAUAUAUCACAACUAAGCAACGGAAUCAGGAGAUGAAUAGUUGCAACAAAGAAUGAAGCUAAGAAUAGCCGAAGGUACAACACAUUGACCCGAUUUGCUAAUUUUGUAGCACCAUGUCUUGUUGGAUGCUGGCCUCCUCCUAACCAAUCAAUCGAUGCAAUGGUCUUACUAAAAUUGUACGAGAAGGAAAUCACGGUGGCAAAUGCAAAACCUAGGAAAGGAGAUCAAGGAACGAAAUUAAAUUGUGAAAAAAUUGGACCUCACAAUCAAACCUUACCAGGGGGGCGAGGAGUACAUGACGAUUAAAGAUAGGAUGCAUCCAGAUUUUGGCUGAUGGUGAAGCGGAGAGCCACAUAGGGGUCAUAUCCAUCGCGUGGAAAUAGGAGCAAGUCAAUUGACGUUGUCAUCGUUGUCGUGUUGCAACUGAGGUCACCAGAUGACCCAGCCGAAGAGGAACCGCUGUCGGUGUCAAAACCGGUCGAUCUCGGGUAGGGGGUCCCGAACUGUGCGUUUGAGGAUCGAAGGUAACAGUAACAGGAGGCAGGGGACACGAUGUUUAUCUAGGUUCGGGCCCUCUUGAUGGAGGUAAUACGCUACUUCCUGCUUGAUUGACUUUGAUGAGUAUAUGGGUUACAAGAGUUGAUCUAUGCACACUGGGUGAAGAAUAUUAGCUCGGGUGAAGAAUAAUGUAUUAUGCACACUGGGUGAUGAAUAGUAACACUAUAUAUAUGUAGUCCAUAUCAUAAUCUCUAAAAAACUUAUAUUUAUGAACGGAGCAAGUAUUUCUCAUGCAUGAGUGUGAGUCAUGGUGCUAUUAUCAUGGAAGUUCAGGCUCGAUCAGAGGAGUUCGAAAUCUACAAGGUGAAAUUCUGAAGCAGAUAGUUUAUCUAAGUUCCUUUUAAUCUCUGGAUGUGGGCAAACAUGUAUGGUUUUUGUUAGAAUAAUUUAAGGCGCGUAGUUGAUCUACCAAGGACCAAGCAAUCAUACGAGACACGACACCUAGAUUUGUUAAUGAGGUUCACCGUCAUGGCUACAUCCCCGGGUUUGACUAUGGACGCUCCCUCUCACGACACCGCUACCAUGUCGCACCUCGCCCGUCCGGGUGUCGGCACACGCCGCUGCCGCAUAUGUCUAACCCCUCAUAUAUAUAAGAGGCCUAGAAUACAAGUGUCUUGUUAGGACAUGACUCCAUAUUCUAUCUACAAACCAUACAACUCGGAGUUCAAUUGUAAUCUAUUUUUGUACACAAUAUUCGACACAACCCUAACAACUUUCGCAUCAACAUGACAUUGUAACAAUUCUUAUGGACCUCGUUGAUCAAUAAAGCAACAUCGUUCCCCUAAUAGAUGAAAAAGACAAGUUAACAUAGAGGCCUCGCGUGGCGCUACGCGUGGGAAAUGGAGCACCGGGACAUGAACAACUUGCAAGUGCCAAGCAGGCCUGUUAAGCUACGUGCCAAGUUCUCUCAGCAAGUGUACUGUUAUUACCUCUGUUCCAAAUUACGUGUCUUAAAAAUUAUCUAACAUUAAAAUAUGUCUAGAUAUUAUCCUUAUAUAGACAAAUCAAAAACAAAUAAUUCAGGACGGAGGAAGUAUUAUACAAGCAAAGCUGAUCUUUUUUUUUUUGCUAAAAAAAAGAAGGAGAAGGCAAAAGCCACUAUGGGCAGUGAAGCCAUUAGGCCCAGUUUAACUGUGUGGUUGGGCCACUGUUUGCCCCGCCCCCCGCAAAGCCGCUGUAUAAGCCCACCUAAGAGGCCUAUUUAUAUCGACCCCCACCUCCUCCUUCAGCCUCCACACCGAUCUAGGGUUUCCUGCUAGGGUUUUGGUCCUUCGGUUUCGGCGGCGCAAGAUGGGGGAGAGGGUCAAGGGAACCGUGAAGUGGUUCAACGUCACCAAGGGGUUCGGCUUCAUCUCCCCGGAGGACGGCAGCGAGGACCUCUUCGUCCACCAGUCCGCCAUCAAGUCCGACGGCUACCGCAGCCUCAACGAGAACGACACCGUCGAGUUCGAGGUCAUCACCGGCGACGACGGUCGCACCAAGGCCUCCGACGUCACCGCACCAGGAGGAGGAGCGCUCUCCGGCGGCUCCCGCCCUGGCGAUGGCGGUGGUGACCGUGGGGGCCGCGGCGGCUACGGUGGCGGUGGCUACGGCGGUGGCGGUGGCGGUGGCGGCUACGGAGGCGGUGGUGGCGGUUACGGCGGUGGCGGUGGCGGCUACGGUGGUGGCGGCGGCGGCCGUGGAUGCUACAAGUGCGNNNNNNNNNNNNNNNNNNNNNNNNNNNNNNNNNNNNNNNNNNNNNNNNNNNNNNNNNNNNNNNNNNNNNNNNNNNNNNNNNNNNNNNNNNNNNNNNNNNNNNNNNNNNNNNNNNNNNNNNNNNNNNNNNNNNNNNNNNNNNNNNNNNNNNNNNNNNNNNNNNNNNNNNNNNNNNNNNNNNNNNNNNNNNNNNNNNNNNNNNNNNNNNNNNNNNNNNNNNNNNNNNNNNNNNNNNNNNNNNNNNNNNNNNNNNNNNNNNNNNNNNNNNNNNNNNNNNNNNNNNNNNNNNNNNNNNNNNNNNGCGGCGAGGAGGGCCACAUCUCCAGGGACUGCCCCCAGGGCGGCGGCGGUGGCGGCGGAUACGGCGGUGGUGGCUAUGGAGGAGGCGGCGGCGGCGGCCGCGAGUGCUACAAGUGCGGCGAGGAGGGCCACAUCUCCAGGGACUGCCCCCAGGGCGGUGGUGGUGGCGGCGGCGGCGGCGGCUACGGAGGCGGUGGUGGCCGUGGCGGCGGCGGCGGCGGUGGCGGCUGCUUCUCCUGCGGCGAGUCCGGCCACUUCUCCCGCGAGUGCCCCAACAAGGCCCACUAGGCGGCACAGCUCUUCAGAUCUGAGUGCCCCGUUUACCCUCGCUCCUUUACCUACCUCCUGAUUCUGCAGCAAGUCAUACCCUAUACCUAUCAGUACUAGUAUUAGUCGCCGUAGCGUUUCCCCCUGCUGCUCGAUCCGAGCUUGGUUCCAGAAGAAUUGCUGGUGGUGUGUUCGUCGUUAAGAUCCAAGUUAUUUUGUUGUCUCUCUGUGAUGAGGACACAGAUCUAUCUAUGUGUUGGAUGGACUAAGUUAUCGAAGUCAAGUUUGGUUUCUUGAGAUUGAUCUAUGAUCUUGCAUGCCUAGUGUUUAUCUUGCAUGUCUGCCAGGCUUGAAAGCGUUGAUUCUGAUAUUCUGUUCUAGGCUAGUGGUGGUGGAUUAUUUUGGAAUCCUGUUCUCCCAUUUAUGUGCGAUUCCAUUGGCGUUUUGAUAGUGGUAUGAUUCGCAAGUUUGAUGCUUCAUGUUCAACAGGUUCAUGGUUCCAAAUCUUCAACAGGUCAAUUCUUAUAUGUUCUUGUGCCACUGUCUGCUGUUAGUAGAUUCUUCACAUGCCACUAGCUUGCAAAAUGCAUCCUAGAUCUUUUUGCAUCCGUCCUAAGCAAGACACGUUGAUUCCUUGCUAUGAUAGAAGACAAAUUCAAUCAGCUCUGCUGUUCCCAUUACGCCCACAUUUCAUUAUAAGCUUAAUCUGAAUUCAGCAGUCUCUUGCUUAAGAAAGAAGGCACCUUAGCUUACUGAUUAAGCCUGAAGCUCCGUUGCAGCUUAGUGGAGUAGUGUGCUUUGUCUGGGAUGAACAGAAUGGAAUCAUGUCGCUUUAGACUUGGGGGAUGCGAAGAAUAACAGCCUAAAUUUUUAUCUCCUUCCAACAAAUGACUCUAGAGCACAUGAACUAUGAUUGAAUAAAUCUUUAUGAGCUUACGCUUUUUAGCAUUUUUCAUAGGAAAUUUAAUAGCCACUCCCAAAUGAAACCAUGAUAUGAAGUACACAUCUCAAAUUUUCCAGAUCUCCUGUGUCCUUUGCAGGCAACGAGCAGGGGGAGGGACCCUGCCCCUGCAGUCGUACUUGGUAGUCUUUUUAGUCCUGAAUGGCACUUUGUCGGGUAAUCUCAUCGGGGAGGAAACUCCGGCGAGCCCUGUUCGUGGCCGCCAUAGCUGUUGAUGUGCUCGUCCUCUUCGAUGCUGGCAACAACUUUCUGCAACGCAUCUUAAGCGCGGUAGUCGGCGUUAGUGUAGGGAUGGAGGCAACCAAAUCGGUUUCUCCCAAGUUCCCUUUGUUUCCCUUUAGCUCCAACAAAUUCCUUGUAGAAUUUGGUCAUCUUUAUUUCGUUUCUCUAGCGUUGUUGGUCUAGGUUUUCUCUCCAAUUUACCUUGUGGUCUCUGCUUAUUGGUAUGAAUUGAAGACUGCCUUGAAUUCCUAACUUAUGGCUUGGGUUCCUCCUUAUACGUUUUCAUGGUCGAUUGGUUGCUAGGUCCAAUCAAUGCUUGUCGAUGCUCUCUCCAACCUCUCUGACUUGGGGCCCCGCAUGGUGACCAUUGUUUCAACCUGGUGGCGCUGUAGGGGCCACUCCGUGGUACUCUCUCCGGUCCGAUUUACUCAGUCGUGGCUUUAGUUUAAAUUGAACUAAAAUCAUGACGAGUAAAUCGGAAUGGAGGGAGUAGGUUUUAUAGGGCGCAUUUCUCACGGUCGGAGCUUGGUUGUUGAAGAUUGUAGUAGGACAAGAGGGGUGGUGGUUUUUUUUUUUCAAAUCAAACGCAGAAGAGAAUUAUCCAGUUAAUUAACGAGAAACCAGGUGAAAACCGUCAUAAUCCGCUGAGCGGCACACAUAGUAUACCCCACACGCCCCCUUUGAGAGGGCCUCGCCGAGCUAGUACACAUGUGUCAUCAUCAUCACUUCUUCAAAAGCGACGUCAUUGCCAUCCCUAAUCCCCGUCAUCACUUCUUCAAAAGCGACGUCAUUGCCAUCCCUAAUCCCCGAGCAAACGACUCUGAUUUCAUCGUAGACAAGCAUCAACCCAACGCACACCAUAGGGGUCAUGUGGAGACAAAUGAAGAUCUGCACUAGCACUCAACCAUCCGCGUCAAGGACAGCGCAACUCUUCCUCUGGAUGAGAGCUAGGAAGAAGAACUAUACAAGGUUGGCGCCGUGAAAACCACUGAAUAGACCACAUGUUGCUCGUUAUCGUUGAUACAUGGCCCUGCCGUCGCAGCUCCGACUUCGUAGCAACAAACAGACCAAGGCAAUCCCACGAACACGCCGAAGAAGAGCCGACUAACACAACAAUUGCCGUGCCUCCGACCUCGCUCACCCCGCCAUUGUUGCCAUAGCAGGUAGAUGUUGGUGAAUGAACUAUUAGAACUAUUAGAACCAUUGUCGGCGACUAACACAACCAUUGUCGCGCAUUCGACCUCGCUCACCCCACCAUUGUUGGCACAUAAGCUAGAUGUAGAGGGGUGGUGUUGAUGAAUGAACUAUUAGAACUAUUGCUACCAGAACUUAGAUGAUGUUCUGAAUUAUAAUUCUUAACAAUUUUAAGCUUACCUAGCGAUGCCUAGAACACCCUGCACAUACAAGUCUAACAAAGAGUAAAGCGACGAAGCAAAACUUGAUACUACAGGGAGUGAGUCUAGGAGAUUGCAAACUCAAGGAGGUUUCAUGACAUAUUUCAUCUUAUAGUUGGUGCUAUCCUACUCCAUAUUGAAGAAGACGUCAAUCCACGAACGUUCUAGGAUCACGAAGACCUCGAUUGCCAAGUCCAUGGAGUACUUUGCCUACAGGAAAAGGAGGAGUAAAAUGGUACUUCACCCCCAAGAGGUUUCAACUUUGUGGUGGGUGAGCUAAUAACAGGUAAGUUUUGAUGGCAUCUAGCUAUCUUAAGCAGAUGGAAUCUGAUUCGUGACCCAACUAGGGGGUAUAUAGGGUAUACCAUGAAUCCUACUUAAGCUCUUGAGUGGAUUGGGGCCCCUCUAGAGAAGUAUUAGUUUGAGUUCGUGAUUUUUCAUCAAAAAGGUUCUUUCGUUUUCUUGGCCGAGGGACGAUUGUUGUAGCAAGUUUGCGAGGUAAGAUUGAUCUCAUAAAGCUUCAUGAAAUAAUUCAAUGGAAUGCGACCUGCAAAAAA